GAUCCUGGCUCAGGACGAACGCUGGCGGCGUGCCUAAUACAUGCAAGUCUAGCGAAGUUUUUCUUGGUGCUUGCACUAGAAAAACUUAAGCGGCGAACGGGUGAGUAACACGUAAAGAACCUGCCUCAUAGACGGGGGCGAACUAUUGGAAACGAUAGCUAAUACCGGAUAACAGCAUAAAUCGCAUGAUAUAUGUUUAAAAGUUGGUUUCGGCUAACACUAUGAGAUGGCUUUGCGGUGCAUUAG
rnacentral:rRNA from 1 species